rnacentral:tRNA from 2 species
GCGAGGGUGCUGGAAUAGGCAGACAGGCGCGUUUGAGGGGCGCGUGAAGAUUUUCGUGUGGGUUCAAGUCCCAUCUCUCGCACCA